UUGGCUUGGUAAAAACCUGGAUUCGACAUAGCUCAUGAUUGUAGUGUUAUCUAAAGGAGUCAUCUUGACUUGGUAAAAACCUGGAUUUGACAUAGCCCUCAUGAUCUUAGUGUUAUCUAAUGCAGUCAUGUUGGCUUGGUAAAAACCUGGAUUCAACAUAGCUCUCAUGAUCGUAGUGUUAUCUAAAGGAGUCAUCUUGACUUGGUAAAAACAUGGAUUCGACAUAGCCCUCGUAAUAGUAGUGUUAUCUAAUGCAGUCAUAUCGGCUUGUUAAAAACCUGGAUUCGACAUAGCCCUCAUGAUCGUAGUGUUAUCUAAAGGAGUCAUCUUGACUUGGUAAAAACAUGGAUUCGACAUAGCCCUCAUGAUCAUAGUCAGAUGCAGGUUUCAAUACUGAUGGUUAAUCGUUUGAACAUUAUAUUUCUAAGAAACUGAGAAGGUCCUUACAAAGGUUGAAGGCCACCUAGCUGCAACUGUCCUAAAUCCUUCUUGUGGAACAAGGAAGCGUUUUCAGCAACCAACACGAUAUCACGAUAAGAUAAGUUUUGGAAAUAAAAGUAAAUUGAGAGUAUACUUUUGGUUUAACUUUUUUAGUUCCUUACACCGGCAAAAUUUUACGUUUGGUGAUCUUGUGAGUAAUAAAUGUAGAUAAUUAGUUUUAAAAAAGUGAUGUAAUAAAAAAAUAUCCUUAUUUAAUAUCC